CGCGCGUGUGCGACUGUAAGCAAGGACCUGCGGGAUUCGCCUGGGGUUCACGGGCAGCUCGAGCGCUUACGAGCGGCGGCCGGCCUCACCUCUUCCGUGAGAAGAGCGCGACUUGAACGGAUCCCAGUCCUGGGUGUGGCAUCUGGCAUCUUAAGUGGCCACCUGAAGAGCUGGAUGACACAGUCCAGAAGUCUGGUGUGCUAAUUCCCAUGGAACAAACUUUGAUCACUGGGAAACUGAAGAUGGGAGGGAGAAAAUGCUUCAUGGUUCCAGCAUUUGUUUGAGGACCUAUGUCACAUCUCACAUCAAUUUUUGUUCAUGGAGUGAGAAAGUACCCAGACUUAGGGUUCGUUUUGCGUGGCUACCUCCAGAACACGUGAACACCACUGGAUGCCAGAAAGUGGAUUUUCUCUCAGGCUUUCCCCAGAGACAAAGCUGUGGGCCAUGAAAGAAAGAUGAAGAAGAUCCUUGGGCCUGUACAAAUUUGGGAAAAAGAGUCACCCUAUUAGUCAGCCUCUCACUGCUGUGGCCUCUCCCGUUGCGGAGCACAGGCUCCGGACGCGCAGGCUCAGCAGCCAUGGCUCACAGGCCCAGCCACUCCGCGGCGUGUGGGAUCCUCCCGGACCGUGGCACAAACCCGCGUCCUCUGCGUCGGCAGGCGGACUCCCAACCACUGCGCCACCAGGGAAGCCCCUAUGCUGCAUCACUUUCUAUACUUAACAUUAUUUUCCCUAACCAACGACAUUAUGUACCAAGUGCUAUAAUGUCUAGGCUACUCAGAGAUGUGCAGAUCAUUUUCAUUAAAUAA